rnacentral:rRNA from 1 species
CCGGGCGACCUACCCAUGAGCAGGAUGAAGCGAAAGUAAAAUUUCGUGGAGGUCCGAACCCACGAGCGUUGAAAAGCUCGGGGAUGACUUGUGGGUAGCGGGGAAAUUCCAAUCGAGCCCGGAGAUAGCUGGUUCUCCCCGAAAUAGCUUUAGGGCUAGCCUCAAGGUGAGAGAUACGGAGGUAGAGCACUGAAUGUCCUAGGGGGUAUUGCACCUACCGAAGACUAUCAAACUCCGAAUGCCGUCAUCUUAUACUUGGGAGUCAGACUGUGGGUGAUAAGAUUCAUAGUCGAAAGG